GACGAACGCUGGCGGCGUGCUUAACACAUGCAAGUCGAACGGUGAAAGGGAGCUUGCUCCCUGGAUCAGUGGCGAACGGGUGAGUAACACGUGGGCAACCUGCCCCAGACUUCGGGAUAACGCUUCGAAAGAGGUGCUAAUACCGGAUACGAACUCCUUGGGCAUCCUUGGAGUUGGAAAGUUUUUCGGUCUGGGAUGGGCCCGCGGCCUAUCAGCUUGUUGGUGAGGUAACGGCUCACCAAGGCGACGACGGGUAGCCGGCCUGAGAGGGCGACCGGCCACACUGGGACUGAGACACGGCCCCGACUCCUACGGGAGGCAGCAGUGGGGAAUAUUGCGCAAUGGGCGAAAGCCUGACGCAGCAACGCCGCGUGAGGGAUGACGGCCUUCGGGUUGUAAACCUCUUUCAGCAGGGAAGAAGCGAAAGUGACGGUACCUGCAGAAGAAGCACCGGCUAACUACGUGCCAGCAGCCGCCGUAA
rnacentral:rRNA from 1 species